GCUCAAAUUUGAAAUCUGGCCGCAAGGUCCGAGUUGUAAUUUGUAGAGGAUGCUUUUGGCGAGGUGACUUCCGAGUUCCCUGGAACGGGACGCCAUAGAGGGUGAGAGCCCCGUACGGUCGGCCACCGAGCCUCUGUAAAGCUCCUUCGACGAGUCGAGUAGUUUGGGAAUGCUGCUCUAAAUGGGAGGUGUACGUCUUCUAAAGCUAAAUACCGGCCAGAGACCGAUAGCGCACAAGUAGAGUGAUCGAAAGAUGAAAAGCACUUUGAAAAGAGGGUUAAAAAGUACGUGAAAUUGUUGAAAGGGAAGCAUUCAUGACCAGACUUGGGCUUGGUUGAACAUCCGGCGUUCUCGCCGGUGCACUCUGCCAGCUCAGGCCAGCAUCAGUUUGCCCCGGGGGACAAAGGCGGCGGGAAUGUGGCUCCCUACGGGGAGUGUUAUAGCCCGUCGUGUAAUGCCCUGGGGUGGACUGAGGUUCGCGCUUCGGCACGGAUGCUGGCGUAAUGGUCAUCAAUGACCCGUCUUGAAACACGGACCAAGGAGUCGUCUUCGUAUGCGAGUGUUCGGGUGUCAAACCCCUACGCGUAAUGAAAGUGAACGUAGGUGAGAGCUUCGGCGCAUCACCGACCGAUCCUGAUGUUCUCGGAUGGAUUUGAGUAAGAGCAUACGGGGCCGGACCCGAAAGAAGGUGAACUAUGCCUGUAUAGGGUGAAGCCAGAGGAAACUCUGGUGGAGGCUCGCAGCGGUUCUGACGUGCAAAUCGAUCGUCAAAUAUGGGCAUGGGGGCGAAAGACUAAUCGAACCUUCUAGUAGCUGGUUUCCGCCGAAGUUUCCCUCAGGAUAGCAGUGUUGAACUCAGUUUUAUGAGGUAAAGCGAAUGAUUAGGGACCAGGGGGCGCUAUAUAGCCUUCAUCCAUUCUCAAACUUUAAAUAUGUAAGAAGC
rnacentral:rRNA from 1 species